rnacentral:lncRNA from 1 species
GAAGAGGAACCUGCUGCAGGCGCCGGCGCGGGCGGCGAGGACGACCUGUUUUUCUGACCCAGCCCGGAAGCGCUGGUGCAGGAGGAAGCCCUCAAGCCCCAUGUCGGUGACCCUGGGGCAGCUCAGUGUUUCCUGCCUCAGCAGCUCUGCCCACCUCCAGUCCGUCAGCAGAUUCUCCCUUGCUGGUCUGGCCUUUCGCUCCAGCAGUGGCAGGCACAGCUGCCCACGUAUCUACUCCUGUGUCACCUGCAAUCUUGUCCCAGAAAGAAAGGCUGCCUUGAGCUUCCUUUUUUCUUCUCGCUGUGGAAAUUGCCUGGAAAGCUAUGAACUGUUGGUUCUUGAAUCAGUUGGCUGCCCCGGAUGUCUGAAUCCCUUGGAAGGAACCUGGAGGAGUUGGCUGAUGGGCUCCAGAGCGGGGCACUUGAGAUGUUCAAAGUGCUUCCUGAGAGACGGCCAAAGGGUGUUCCCUGGGUGGCCUGGGAGUCCAAGAGACAUGUACUCUGGGGCAGGAAGAGGGCAGGUGCUACCGGAUCACCCUAACAACCCUCUGGGACCUGUGGCCAUGUGUUCACAACAGCAGCCAUUACAGGUGUUUCCUGAACUCUUGUCGCGAGCCUCUGUCGGCUCCAUCUCAUCGAUCCUCCCAGCAACCCACAAGGAAGCUUCACAGAGAGGCAGAUGCCACACAGGCCACCCACCCAGAUGCAGAGCCAGAUUCCCUGCGUGGACUGGACGGGAGUUUCCCAGCUGGAGUUCUCUCGGCCAAGCUGCCUGUGACAUGGGGUUGGAGGUGCUCCAGAGAGUCAUGGCCACCCCUGGAGGAAGUGACUUGUGGCUGACUGCUCAAGGGGAAGUCCUGUGGCAGUGGAGUCGUCAGCAUUAAUUCAAAUAAGAUCUCUCCCUGCACACAAUCUGCUUUCGUGUUCCUGAUGGAUUGAAUCAAGAGUGAAUGAGCUCCUACUUCGCGAAAGCAAAACAAACUAAACGCAUCAACCACGACCGCAGAGCCCCCAUCUCUCCCAGGAGGGUGAGCCCAUGUUGUGUUUUCAUUUGUCAGAAAUCUAUCUUAGGAAGCCAUUCCUGAGAUCUGUUCUAAUUUAGGCCAUUUUUAAAAAAAAUAAUGCAGUUGAUUCUUUUCCCGUGAUCUUUCUUUUCUCCAUGACUUAAAUUUCCCCAGGAACUAUUCAAAUGCCGCAUCUGGGGUUUUGUUUUUGUUUUUUGAUGAAGUCAUGACUUUCUUUAAACAGUAAUUAUUAAACAAACCAAA